rnacentral:rRNA from 1 species
UAGGGAAUCUUCGGCAAUGGGGCAACCCUGACCGAGCAACGCCGCGUGAGUGAAGAAGGUUUUCGGAUCGUAAAGCUCUGUUGUAAGAGAAGAACGUGUGUGAGAGUGGAAAGUUCACACAGUGACGGUAACUUACCAGAAAGGGACGACUAACUACGUGCCAGCAGCCGCGGUAAUACGUAGGUCCCGAGCGUUGUCCGGAUUUAUUGGGCGUAAAGCGAGCGCAGGCGGUUUAAUAAGUCUGAAGUUAAAGGCAGUGGCUUAACCAUUGUUCGCUUUGGAAACUGUUAAACUUGAGUGCAGAAGGGGAGAGUGGAAUUCCAUGUGUAGCGGUGAAAUGCGUAGAUAUAUGGAGGAACACCGGUGGCGAAAGCGGCUCUCUGGUCUGUAACUGACGCUGAGGCUCGAAAGCGUGGGGAGCAAACAGG